UUGUCUUCCCCAUCACCCUCCUCUCAGGCCUUUACUGGUGACCAGACUGUCUCUGAAGGAAGGAAGACCCUGGAAGCCAUAGCUGUCUUGAAACCAUCUCUUACAUCAGCUCCGGACCCCGUCUCCCUGAUGCAAACCCACCUUGCUUUGGAGUCAUGUUCCGGCGGCCGCACUGCUGCUUUACGCUGUGCAUACAUUCUCAUGUCCUGCUCACACCAGUGCUUGCAAAGGGGCCUAAAGUAGUCUGGAAUACCAGAUAUGCAAUCAAUUGGCCCUUCCAAUAGCAAACCCUGAUACCAUCUGAACUGUAUCCUGAAGGAACUGGCUGGCAAGAAUUGGAACCAGCUGGUAAGGGAUAGAACACUGAAAACAACUAGUAAAUUCAGGAGCCACGUUCCCGGCGUGGAGAGCUGGAUCUGGACUUCCCAGUAGCAACUGAGAAGUGAGGAUACGAGGGAAUCUGCAGAGGACGAGAAAACUCUCUUCGGGUCGCUGCUGAGGAGUGAAGCUGAAACUGAGCAUGUCCGAACUCUUCACACUGCAACCACAAAGCUCAGGCUCAAGAAGGCGAAUCUGAGUCACAAAAACAUCCCCUAAAGAAACUCCUACGACGCUUUGAGGACGCUUAUGAUUCUGUCGGGCCACGCCCAUC